rnacentral:rRNA from 1 species
UACGUAGGCAGCGAGCGUUGUUCGGAGUUACUGGGCGUAAAGGGUGUGUAGGCGGUUGUUUUAAGUUUGGUGUGAAAUCUCCCGGCUCAACUGGGAGGGUGCGCCGAAUACUGAAUGACUUCGAGUGCGGGAGAGGAAAGUGGAAUUCCCGGUGUAGUGGUGGAAUGCGUAGAUAUCGGGAGGAACACCAGUGGCGAAGGCGGUUGCCUGGAGCUUUGCUGACGCUGAGGCGCGAAAAGCGUGGGGGAGCGAUCCGG